rnacentral:rRNA from 1 species
UACGGGGGGAGCAAGCGUUGUUCGGAUUUACUGGGCGUAAAGGGCGCGUAGGCGGUCAGCACAAGUCAGUUGUGAAAUCUCCGGGCUUAACUCGGAAAGGUCAACUGAUACUGUGCGACUAGAGUGCGGAAGGGGCAACUGGAAUUCCCAGUGUAGCGGUGAAAUGCGUAGAUAUUGGGAAGAACACCUGAGGCGAAGGCGGGUUGCUGGGCCGACACUGACGCUGAGGCGCGAAAGCCAGGGGAGCGAACGGG